rnacentral:rRNA from 1 species
AGGAUGAACGCUGGCGGCGUGCUUAACACAUGCAAGUCGAACGGUAAGGCCCUUUCGGGGGUACACGAGUGGCGAACGGGUGAGUAACACGUGGGUGACCUGCCCCCUACUCUGGGAUAAGCUUGGGAAACUGGGUCUAAUACCGGAUAUGACAUGUUCCUGCAUGGGGAUGUGUGGAAAGUUUUUGUGGUGGGGAUGGGCCCGCGGCCUAUCAGCUUGUUGGUGGGUGAUGGCCUACCAAGGCUUCGACGGGUAGCCGG